AAUCUUUCUGAAAGGCCAAUUUAUAAAUGCAGACUAGACUUUCGAGCUAACACUUUGUAACUUGUUACCAAGUAAUUUUUCGUGAUUUACUCAAUUAAUGUCCUUAAAUAUUGAGCUCAUAUACGGAGAAGAGUAAAUUAUGGAGCAUGAAGUUGUGAAGACGGCAAAACCAGAAUACCACAAAAAAUUUGGAAAUGAAAACCUGCCAAUAGAACUUAGAAAGGAAGACCAAGAAAGAGUUGGGAAAAGGCAAUAAAAGAAGCUAUGCAGAAGAAGCUUUGAAAAUUGGGAUGCGGUAGAUGGAAAGCUGUAUACUGCUUACGAGAUAUCUAUUCUAUAAAGCCUUGAUAGAAAC